rnacentral:rRNA from 1 species
UACAGAGGGUGCGAGCGUUGUUCGGAAUUAUUGGGCGUAAAGGGCGCGUAGGCGGUGCGGUAAGUCACCUGUGAAAUCUCCUGGCUCAACUGGGAGCUUGCAGGCGAAACUGCCGUGCUGGAGUGUGGGAGAGGUGAGUGGAAUUCCCGGUGUAGCGGUGAAAUGCGUAGAUAUCGGGGAGGAACACCUGUGGCGAAAGCGGCUCACUGGACCACAACUGACGCUGAGGCGCGAAAGCUAGGGGAGCAAACAGG